rnacentral:rRNA from 1 species
AUGAGCUACCAGCAGCAGGGCGCCAGCGCCACGGCCUACCCUCCGCCGGGCCAGCAGCAGCAGCAGGCCUACGUAGCGCCGCCGCCGGCCGGCUACCCGCAGCGGGACCAGCAGUAUCCUGACGCCGGCGGCGCCGACACCACCACGAGCCGCGGCGGCCAUGGGCACCACCACGGCGGCGGCUUCUGGAGAGGCUGCUGCGCGGCGCUGUGCUGCUGCUGCCUCCUCGACGCCUGCUUCUGA